rnacentral:rRNA from 1 species
AGAGUUUGAUCCUGGCUCAGGACGAACGCUGGCGGUGCGCUUUAUGCAUGCAAGUCGAGCGAAGCUUUUCAGUAGUUUACUACAGAAAAUGACUGAGCGGCGAGCGGGUGAGUAACGCGUGAGCAAUCUACCUUAGUUACAGGGAUAGCCCGAGGAAACUCGGAUUAAUACCUGAUAUUCUUUAUUUCUCGCAUGAGAAUAAAAGGAAAGGUCAGCCGAACUAAGAUGAGCUCGCGUUCUAUCAGCUAGUUGGUGAGGUAAAAGCUUACCAAGGCUACGACGGAUAGCUGGUCUGAGAGGACGAUCAGCCACACUGGGACUGAGACACGGCCCAGACUCCUACGGGAGGCUGCAGCAGGGAAUAUUGUGCAAUGAACGAAAGUUUGACACAGCGACACCGCGUGUGGGAUGACGGAUCUAGGUUUGUAAACCACUUUCAGGAGGGAAGAAAAUGACGGUACCUCCACAAGAAGCCCCGGCCAACUACGUGCCAGCAGCCGCGGUAAUACGUAGGGGGCGAGCGUUGUCCGGAUUUAUUGGGCGUAAAGAGCUCGUAGGCGGUUCAACAAGUCGGUCGUGAAAGUUCAGGGCUCAACCCUGAAAUGUCGAUCGAUACUGUUGUGACUAGGAUACGGUAGAGGUGAGUGGAAUUCCGAGUGUAGCGGUGAAAUGCGUAGAUAUUCGGAGGAACACCAAUUGCGAAGGCAGCUCACUGGACCGCUAUCGACGCUGAGGAGCGAAAGCUAGGGGAGCAAACAGGAUUAGAUACCCUGGUAGUCCUAGCUGUAAACGAUGGAUACUAGACGUAGGAACUGGAUUGACGGUUUCUGUGUCGUAGCUAACGCGUUAAGUAUCCCGCCUGGGGAGUACGGUCGCAAGACUAAAACUCAAAGGAAUUGACGG